UACGUAGGAGGCAAGCGUUGUCCGGAAUCACUGGGCGUAAAGCGCGUGUAGGUGGUGGGACAAGUCUGCUGUGAAAGCGCCUGGCUUAACCGGGCGAGGUCGGCGGAAACUGUUCGACUCGAGGACGGUAGAGGGGGGUGGAAUUCCCGGUGUAGUGGUGAAAAUGCGUAGAGAUCGGGAGGAACACCUGUGGCGAAGGCGGCCCCCUGGGCCGG
rnacentral:rRNA from 1 species